UUUUUUUUUUUUUUUUUUUUUUUUUUUUUUUUUUUUUUUUUUUCUCCG
rnacentral:ribozyme from 13 species